GUCCCCUAUGCAAUUUUCCUUUUCGUAAACCAUCGUUGCCAUUUGGAACGGUCGUUGUCAUUUUAAGAACGGUCGUUGCCAUUUAAAAAAACGUGGGGCGAGUUCGUCGAGUCAAUAUUUACUCGGAGUUUCGUCGGCCCGUUGAACUAUAGUCCAUAUCACGUCGGAAAAAACAAAUUUCCAAAAUGGCGGACAUGAACGACUUGAUCAAAGCUGCGAUAGAAGAAGUAAAUUCUCAAUCCAAACCUUUUGAAAGUAAAUCUAUUGACGAAAAUAGAUUCAUCGAAACACUCCCAGAAGACUGUACUUAUCACGUGAAAGAGCUUUCGGGUGUAGAGGAGAAGUUCAAGGCGAUUAUCCAAACAGAAGAGGUAACUACCGAGAAUCUAGAUGGAUGGCUGGACGAAUAUGAAGCGAUUAACAGCAUUACUGUUCGAAUCAAGACCAAGAAAAAGCCAACAAAACGGUGUGCCCUGAAAAACUAUUAUAGGUGCCACCACAACACCAGGAACUGGAGCCCAAGCAAGGACCCACAGAAGAAGUUACUGCUGAACCCUUCUGCAAGGGUAAAAAACACUAACUGCCCUUUCCAAAUGUUUGUCAAGAUCGCUUGUGAUGGCUGUUGCACGAUUGAGAUUACUUGGGAUCAGAAUCAUUCAGUCGAUACUCUUGAAGCCUCGAAUUUUCAUGAUGUUUUACCAGAAGUUAUUGACAAAGUAAUGAAACUCUUUGAAAGUGGCUGCACCCCAUCCACUGCUAGACAGCAGUGCCUGAAAGACUUGAGAGAGUCAUGCAAGGAUGAACUUGACUACCACGGGAAAAAGGCCAAUCGGUCUUUAAUGCCAAGAAGGAGAGAUUUUUCGUAUCUAUACACCCAGAUGUGCAAGGAGAGAUAUGGCGGGACAGGCCACUUGAUGUUUUCAAAAAUGGUAGAAAAAUUAGAAUACAGAAAAGCAAACCCAGAAGCUAGCACAAUGCACCAAAUUUAUGGAGGUGAGGAUACACCUCUGAUAAUUACAGUUAUCUCACCACUUAUGAAACGUGUGCACAAGAAGUCCAGCAAUCAGCCGAACUAGUUUUUAUUGAUGCCACUUCAAAUACCGAAGAACACAACUUAAAAGUGUUUGUUGUGUGCACGCACAAUGUUGCUGGAGCUCUGCCAUUAGGUAUCCUUAUUACAAGUGAUGAAAGAAAAAAAUCCUUGAAGCAGGGUUUUGAGAUGCUACAGUCAUGCUUGCCAGACUAUGCUUUUUAUGGCCGUGGACCAAAAGUUGGCCCUGAGGUCAUUUUAACCGACAAUUGCAAAGAGGAACGCAAUGCUCUCAACUCAGUGUGGCCAUCCUGUAAACUGCUUCUAUGCAUUUUUCACAUGCUUCAGCAGGUUUGGAGGUGGCUACAUGAGACCAGCCAUGGUAUCAAUCAAGUUGAUCGUCCCUACAUCCUCAGUCUUUUUAAGAAGAGCUUGUAUGCAGAAACAGAGGAACUGUUUGAGGACUGCUUUUCUGAACUGUUGAAUGAUGACAAAUGCAAAUGUUAUCCAAAUCUGGUUGACUAUUUGGGAACUCUGUAUAUUGAGAAGGAGGCAUUUGCUCUUUGCUUUCGUACAGAACUACGAGUAAGAGGCAACCACACUAAUAAUUUUGCUGAGGCACAGUUUUUAGUACUGAAGGAUACAAUUCUGAGGAGAGUUAAGAAGUACAACGUUGUCGGGCUUAUCAGCAAGCUCACAGUUGAGUUGGAGGACCACUAUAAAGACAAAUUGUUCUCCAUAGCUGAUGGCAGCUUUGAUGGUCUUUACAGACGGCGCUUUAUGGGUAAAGGAACGGAUGGUAGCUCAGGUUUUCGCACUCCUGAUUUAAGGGAACGCGACUUGUAUCUAUCAACUGUUGAAAAGUUCAACAAUGAUGUGUUUAAAGUUAGGAGCUCAUCAAAGAACAAUGAAAGCUAUACAGUUGACAUGACACUUGGGAUGUGUAGUUGUGAAGUGGGAAAAGAUGGAAGCCCUUGCAAGCAUCAGUAUGUAUUUUGGUCUGCAAAUAAAGCCCAUUGUAUCAAUUUUGUUCCAGUGACUCAGCCAGAAAUGAGACAGAAAUUGGCUUGGAUUGCCAUAGGAGAAUCACUGCCUCUUUCAUGUUAUAGCACUUUGCGUGCCCGAGAAAGCAGUAACCCUGGGGUAAAUGUACUACCUGAUUCGGAUUCUGAUGAUCAGGAUGCAUCACAGUCCUAUCUUGAUGAAACAAUUCAAGACGUGUCAAUGCCUGACACCACAUCAGUAACUGGUGAUGCAGAAGAUUCUUCUAUUGAAACAGCAGCAGAUGCACUUAUGAAGUCUUGCAAUUUGAUAACAGAAAAGCUUAAAAACACAGGGGAUGCAAACUUAGCCAAAGGUUUCAUGCAAUUCUCAAAAAGAGUUGCAUCUUUGACAUCUCCAACAUCAAUGCACGCAAAACUUACAACUGCCCUUUUCAACUUUGGAUCUGUUGAAACUAAAAAAACAGGAAAGGGGAAGAAAAUUAGAGUACAACCCAACAGAAAAAGUAAAAAUGGGAAUGGAAGCCAGCAGGCCACCCUUAAGGGUAGACCAGUACAGCUGCAGUCAUUACAAGGGCCUACAAGAAAACGCAAGCGUGGCCAUGACCUGGCUAAAGCGGUACAGUCCAACACACAAGGCAGUAAGAAAUCUGGCUCACAUACAAUGAUGUCAAAAACAAAGCAUAUGCAGAGGAAAAAAAUGUAGUAAAAAAAGUUGACACUAUUUUUAAAAUUAUUGUAUAGUUUCUUAUUGCCAUAUAUGACCAUGUAUAAGUCAACCGUGUGUAUAAGUCAAACCCCUAAAAUAUUGUAAAAAUUUAUGUUUUUAUGUUGUUUAGUGUCUAAGUUGACCCCUAGUUUUUCCAGGAUUUCUUAUUAAAAACAAGUGUUGCUGCAAAUUA